rnacentral:rRNA from 1 species
GACGAACGCUGGCGGCGUGCUUAACACAUGCAAGUCGAACGGAAAGGCCCUGCUUUUGUGGGGUGCUCGAGUGGCGAACGGGUGAGUAACACGUGAGUAACCUGCCCUUGACUUUGGGAUAACUUCAGGAAACUGGGGCUAAUACCGGAUAGGAGCUCCUGCUGCAUGGGGGGGGUCGGAAAGUUUCGGGGGUUGGGGAUGAGACUCGCGGCUUAUCGGCUUGUUGGGGGGGUAGGGGCUGACCAAGGCUUUGACGGGUAGCUGGGCGGCGAGGGGAACCGGCCAAAUGUGGACGGAGAUACGGCACAGACUCCAACGGGAGGCAGCAGAGGGGAAUAUAGCACAAUGGGCGGAGGCCUGAUGCAGCAACGCCGCGUGCGGGAUGACAGCCUGCGGGUUGUAAACCGCUUUCGCCUGUGACGAGGCGUGAGUGACGGUAAUGGGUAAAGAAGCACCGGCUAACUACGUGCCAGCAGCCGCCGUAACAC